rnacentral:lncRNA from 1 species
CUUCUUCUUCUUUUUUCUCCUCCUACUCCCCUCCUCUUUUUCUCCUCCUAUUCUUUUUCUUUUUCUUUUUCUUGUUCUUGUUCUUGUUCUUGUUCUUGUUCUUGUUCUUGUUCUUGUUCUUCUUCUUCUUCUUCUUCUUCUUCUUGUUCCUCUUGUUCUUCUUGUUCUUCUUCUUCUUCUUUCUCCUCCUCUUCCUCCUCCUCCUCCUCCUCUUCUUCUUCUUCUUCUUCCUCUUCUUCUUCUUCUUCUUCUUCUUCUUCCUCUUCUUCUUCUUUUUUCUCCUCCUCCUCCUCCUGUUCUUCUUCUUUUUCUUCUUCUUCUUCUUCUCCUUCUUCUUUUCUUUCUUCUUCUAAUUAUUUUCUUCUUUUCCUUUUUCUUUUUCAUUUUUUUCCUUCUGCUUUUCCUCUUUUUUUCUUCUAACCUAACUAACUAACCUAAUUAGCCUAAUAAUCUAACCAAAUAAACUAACUAAAUUACCUUAUAAUAAUAAAAAACUAACCUAAUAAACUAACUAAAGUAAUUAAAUUUUUUAAAAAGAAAAAGAAGAAGAACUCAACUCACCGUGGUGGACGACGGCAGGGGGGCAGGGGGCGCGCGGGGAGGAGGGCGCGGGGAGGAGGGCGCGAGCGGGCGCGGGGAGGAGGGCGCGGGGAGGAGGCGGUGGGGAGGAGGGCGCGGGGAGGAGGCCGCGGGGAGGAGGCGGCGGGAGGGGAGGUGGUCAGCGAGCGGGGAGGAGGGGUGCCGCGGGAGGGGAGGAGGGGGCGGGGGAGGAGGCGGCCGACGGGAGGGGAGGCGGCCGGCCGGCGGGGGACGAGCGGCUGAGAGUAACUGUCGGAGCGGAGGAGACUGUCGGAGCGGAUGAGAGUGAGAGGGAGAGGGAGACGGCCGUUAGGGGGGGCUUGCUUUGCCGUCCACCCCCCGGCGGCAAAGAGAGGAGGGCAGACGACAAAGGGAGCGCCCGUUAUGGGGUGGGAGGGUGUGUACGGUGGCACCCCCUUUGCCGUAUGCCAACCCUUUGUCGUCCGCCUGUGCUUCCUUUGCCGUCUGCUCGCCGACGGCAAAGAAUUUUUUUGCCUUAUGUGUUCUCUUUGCCGUUUGCUUUGCGCCAGCUGAUGGGAAAGAAGAUCUUUUCCAUGUGUCAGCAGACGGCAAAGGAAAGGCAGACGGAAAAUUUGUGAAUUCCAGUAGUGUUGGUAGGUGAAUGAAGGAAUUGGCACACUUUAUUGACAGCAAACGAGAUAUCAGGUCUUGUAAGUGUCAAAUAUUGAAGUGCACCAACUAGGCUCUUGUAUUUUGUGCCAUCAUCUGGACUUAAAGGUUUUCCCUCUGUAAGAGACAAUUUAUCUCAACUAGACAGAGGAGUAGGUGCAGGUUUGCAGCCCUGCAGGCGAGCCUUUCUUACCAAGUCAGUUGCAUACUUUUCUUGAGAGAGAUGGAGUCCAUUCUUGUGCUUUUUUACUUCAAUCCCUAAAAAAUAAUGCAAAUCUCCAAGGUCCUUGAGAGCAAAUUCAGAACCCAAAUCUUUUAACAAUCCUGUUAUUGCUUUAUGAGAAGAGCUUGUGACAAUAAUAUCAUCUACAUAAAUAAGCACAUAGACCAAGGUGUUGAACUUAUUGUAGAUGAAUAGUGAGGUGUCAGAUUUUGAAGGAACAAAACCAAGAGUUUGGAUUUUCUUGCUGAGACGAGAAUACCAUGCUCUUGGGGCUUGCUUCAACCCAUACAGAGCCUUAUCAAGUCUGCAUACAUGAGAGGGUGUAUGGUUGUUCUCAAACCCAGGUGGUUGUCUCAUAUAUACCUCCUCUUCCAGAACACCAUGAAGAAACGCGUUCUGUACGUCUAGCUGUCGAAGGCUCCACCCCCUGGAGACAACAAUAGACAAAACAAGGCGAAUGGUGGCAGCUUUUACAACUGGACUAAAGGUGUCCUCGCAGUCAAUACCAUAUCGUUGCUUAAACCCUUUUGCCACUAGUCUAGCCUUGUAGUGGUCAAUCUUUCCAUCAGAUUUCCUCUUGAUCCUAAAUACCCAUUUGCAGUCAAUCAGAUUUUUACCUUGAUGUGGAGGAGCCAAGUGCCAAGUUUUAUUUUUCUGAAGAGCCAUAUAUUCUUCAUAAAGUGCCUUCCUCCACUUUUCAUCCCCAAGAGCUUCGGCAAGUGUAUGAGGCUCACCAGGUUCACCUAUAGAACAGACCAAGUCAUAUUUGGUUAUGUGUUUAUAAUUUACAGGUGCAGUUACCCCUUUUUGAAGCCUUGUACGUCGCUGUGCUUGGUCAGGCUGCUGGAUUUCGGUGCCAGGAGGCGAGCUAGACUCUGUACCAGGUUCACCUGCACCUCCUGCUGCUGCUGAAUUGCGGUGCAUAUCUUGUGUGACCGGCUGUAGUUGUUCGUUUGCCACAUAAGAUCGCAGCCGACCAGGAGUGACGACGUUGGAGUUGGAGUCCUGUUCUGUGCCUGCUGCAUGGCUCCCACGCCGCCGCUUGUACACCACUUGUUGGUUGGAGAAGCGCAUGUUGCUGCGAUUGGGGGCAGACUGCAGCACGUCAGGAUCCACUAGUCCUGUGGCGGGAUCAGCAGCAGUAGCAGCAGCUAGCGCACUGGCUGCGACAGGGACAGGGGCGACCAACUCUGGUUGAGCAAGUCCCGAGGAGGAUAUGCUCCCGCUGCCAUGACACAUAUGAUAAUGAGUGUCAUUUGUAUUGGGCUCGUCUACUGCAGCUUCUUCAUCAUUUUCACAAGUUCGUGUUUCAUGACAAUGCUCAUGCAAACGAUUAGAAGAGUUAGUAAACAUGUGAUCAUCGCAGGUAUUAGUUCCCCCUUGAUCAGGACUAACUAAAUGAGAUGGCAAAAGAAGAAUCUCUUGGCGAAGCACGACACCCGCAUUGGGAUGGAGAUCAGCAAAGGGGAAUUUAGUCUCAUCAAACACAACAUCACGAGAGAUGUACACACGGCCAGUUGCAACAUCAAGACAUUUUACACCUUUAUGCUGAGUACUAUACACAAGAAAGACACAUUGUGGUGAGGGGAACAUGAGUUUGCGUUUGUUAUAGGGACGGAGAUUGGGCCAACAAGCGCAACCAAAAACCCGUAGAGAUGUGUAAUUUGGUUUGGUGUGGAUAAGUCUUUCAAUAGGAGUGUCAUUGGCAAUGACACGGCUGGGAAGCAUGUUGAUAAUAUGGACUGCAGCAAGGAAUGCUUCAUCCCAAAAUUUUAGGGGCAUGGAAGCACCAGCUAAUAAGGCAAGACCAUCCUCAACAAUGUGUCGAUACAUGCUUUCAGCAGAGGCGUUUUGUUGGUGAGCGUGGGGGCAUGACACAUGGUGUGAUACACCAAGUGUUUGGAAGAAAGAGUUUAAUUUUUCAUACUCUCCUCCCCAAUCGGAUUGGACAACAAGAAUCUUGCUUUCAAAUUGUCUUUCAACGAGUGCUUGGAAGUUUUUAAACACUUGAAAUACAUCGGAUCUUUUCUUGAGGAGAUAGAUCCACGAGAAUUUGCUAUAGUCGUCAAUGAAGCUCACAUAAUAUGUAUGUCUAUUAACUGAACUAGGGGCAGGACCCCAGACAUCAGAAAAGAUUAACUGCAAUGGUUUAGUAGAGACACUUAUGGAGAUAGGGUAAGGUAAUUGAUUAAUUUUUGCUCUUUGGCAGGAAUCACAAAUAGUUUCAACAUUAUGCUCACCAACAAACGGGAGUUUAUUCUUUCUAAGAAAACAUUCUACUAAGGAAAAAGAAGCAUGCCCUAGACGAUCAUGCCACCGUGUGGCGGAAAGCUUGAUAGCUCCACAAGCUUGUUUAUUGAGUCUUCUAAGCUCCGGAAUCAACGAGUAAAGACCUCGAAUGCAUCUACCUUGAUAGAGUGUUUUCUCCGUGGCCUGAUCCUUAAUCAAAAAGAAGAAAGGAUGAAACUCAAUAUAGACGUGAUUGUCAAGGGUAAUUCUAUGAACAGAUAAAAGAUUUUUGUUGGCUCUAGGAAGAUGUAGAAUUUUCCUGAGAUGAAUGCUACGAUGUGGGGUAGUAAUAACUGAAUGACCAAUGUGACGUAUCUUCAUACCUCCACCAAUUGCGGUGUGAAUCUGGUCCUUGCCAUUGUAUUUCUCCCGGAGGGUUACUUUUUCUAGCUCGCCGAUGAGAUAAUUUGUAGCACCGCUGUCAAGAUACCAAUUGGUAUCAACACCAUAUGAGCCGUCGGCAGCAGCAUCUACCUUUUCAUCAUCUUCAGAGGCAGCUUCAUCUUCUUCGAAUCUGGACGAGCAGUCCUUUGCGGAGUGACCUGGUUUGCCACAGAUUUGGCAGCGAACAACAUCGGGACGACCCUGAUUGUUGGACCCGCCACGACGACCCCGAUUGUUGUUGGAGGCAGGGUGACCGUUGCGGGAGUUGUAGCCGCCGUUGUUUCCACCACCUCCUUGCUUGCCUUUGGAGCGAGGAGAACCACGGCCACGAGAGUAGCCGCCAUGCCGACGUGCAACAACAUUGGCAAAGGACUUGAAACCUCCUGAUCCCUAGUACCGCGCUACCCUUUGAUCAAAGUUACUUAACAUUGAGAAAAUUUCAUCAAUGGAUACCGGGGUAGUGCGAGCAUCAAGGGCGGAGACGAGGGGCUGAUAGUCCAUGUCGAGGCCGUGGAGGAUGUAGGAGAUGAGCUCGUCGUCCUGGAGGGGCUUCCCGGCGGCGGCAAGUUCAUCAGCGAAGCCGCGCAUCUCGGCGAAGUAGGUGUCAACGGUCUUGUUGCCCUUCUGGGCAUUCACCAGGGAGGUUAUGAUGUUGUUGACACGGCUGAGCGACUGCGAGGAAAACAUACCUGGCAGCGCCAUCCAAAGCUCAUGUGACGUGGUGAUCGUAGUCACCUGCACGAGCACCUCCUUGGUGAGAUUGUUUAGCAUGUACCCAAGUACCUGUUGGUCCUCUCGCACCCAGAUGGGAUGGAGACGGUUUGGCUCAAUGGAUUCCUUCGCAUCCUUGUCCUUGGAGGAGAGGAUCCUGGCCGGCUCCGGUACAGCGCCGUCGACAUAGCCGAAGACGCCUGCUCCUCUUAGCUGCGACGUGAUAUUUUUUUCAAUUAUAGCACUACCGUGUAUAGGAGAAGAUAGAUGGCUGGAAAUAUCAAUCGAUGGGAGCACGUCUGAAGCUAUACGUGGUGAAGAGAUUCGAAAAUCUACAUCCACGGCUGACAUGUGAAAAUCAUCCAAAUUGUGAUCUGCGUCUCCUCUAAGUAUAUUGUCCAGAUAUGUGUGUGCGAUGGGCGGAAAGCAUCAUACCUUCUCAGGUGACGCCGUGCGUGUUAAUAUAGCAGGGGCGCACCUCCCUGAUAGCGUAUACAAGUCGGUAGUUACAAGAGAUAACAACCUUGGAGAAUAAGUUAAGAUAGAGGUCUAAGAUAGAGAUAAGAUAUCCUCUAGUAUCCUAACUAACUAACUACCAAAUCAGUCUUAUACCUUAUACCGGUCGGUCUCCUGGGUAUAACUGAAACCUAUACCGACAUCUAUCUAUGUGUUUUACAAUGUGCAACUGAGAUCAUCAUGUACGUACAAAGGGCCAUUUACUUUUAUAGGACUGGAAGUAUUGUCAUCGUUGGCAAAAUCAAGUUUUCUUUUAGAAAUAGGCCUUGCCUCCUCAUCAGAAGAAAUAACUUCAUUGGUACAUGGUUCCUUUGGCUUAGUAAUUGAAAGGUUAACACCAACUGGCAUAUCCGUUGGAGUCAAGGGAUUAGAGGAAGAGCCAAUGACAACAUCUUUAUCUUUCCGCUUCUGUAAAAUAUUGACAUAUAUGUAUUAUAUGAAGAAAGAAGUAAAUUAUGGAAGUAAACAAAAUGAAGCAAAGAUUUUUAACUCACACGUUGAGGGGCCAUAGAAGGUUCAUCGUCUGAAAGGAGGGUAGCUAAAAUAGGAUUCCAAUGAUCUUCUUGCUUUUUCUCCUUUGCGUCAAUGACAGCGAUAUAUUCCUCUUGACGGUCUGCUGGCACUUCUUUUAUUAUAACAAAAUCUGACUCGGAGAGCUCGCGAGGGACCAUAAAAGUUUUUUUCUUUUUCUUGAAUGCCUCUUUCCUAUCAGCAUAUGAUAUUCCCCCAUAUAGACUAUCAGACUUAAGGUCACCCAAAAUAAGAGCAAACGGUUGCGAAAACUUUUUCCACCAUCUAGUCCACGCCACAUCAAAUUUUUCCUCAUAAGUACUGUUGAGAGGAUGAUGAAUGCCCUCUUGAAUUGGGAUAAAUAAAUGCGACCAGUAUGUGUAUGCUACGCCAACAUCCGUUCCAGUCCAUAAAGAUUUCAAAGGAUUAAACGGUAUCUGUUGGUCUAACUUAAGCUGGCAAGCCACACAGUCUGGAUGGUAUGGCUCGACUACACAUCUACUACUGUUCUGAUAUAAGAACCUCCAUGGAAGAAUAGCCCAUUGGAUGGAAAUCUUGUAUGCCCUUUGUAGCGUAUCUACUCUCGAUAGGUUACGCGAGGAAUAAGGGCACCAAGCGAUUUUUUGAACAUUCUCAAGGUAUUCAUGAGCCAGCUCAGGCGUAAAUUCAAUUGGAGGCCUACGCAUUGUUUAUAGCAUGGUUGGUUGCAUAGGCAAGAUCCUAGGAGAGGGUAGAUGGUUCCCUUCACCUUUGGCCCAAACGUAUUCUUUAAAUAGAGAUACAUCCACCCUAUAAUAUAAUGGAUCGCCCAAGGCUGCUUGCAAAAUGUAGGCCCAACAGGAUGCCUACUGAUAGCCCGGAGAUAAAAAUACAAAGAGGAUAAUGCUGGCGGAGCGAGUGAAAUUUUUCGUCCUAUGGCGAUCCAAGACGCCAUGACAAGAACGCCCGAACGAAUGUAUUGUCCACCGCCGACAAUGACAAAACUACACAACCAUAUCGCAAUGAACGCUGCAAGAUACAUGCGACUGUCGCGCAUACUAGUGAAAUUUAAGGGUUUUUCACGUUGGUUGUGGAAAUGGUCACACCAAGCCUCGAAGGAUACCAAUUUUUCAUCACUUUUGCAAAAGAUUGGAUAAGAAGUUCGGGUACAAAAGCAAUUGAGGGUCUAAUUUAUUGAGUGGAGGAAUAUAUUCUUCAUAAAGAUCUCCGGCGAUAGGUUGCCCGGCCAUAAGAAGCAUGUCAAGUAAGGUGAUCGUACGUUCACCACACGAGAAUAGGAAAGUGUUUGUUUGGUGACUCCAUUUUUCUAAGAAAGGCUAAAGUAAAUUAGGGCAGACAUCAUAGUCACAGAGGGAGACAUAUAUAGCGUCGCAGAUAUAGUCUGUAUGGUCCUCACCCCCUUUCAGAUUAAAAGUGUGACGAUCAAUAACCUCAGCCCCCCAUUCAAUAUAACCAUUUGGCCGUCUGACAUGCGGGAUAUUAUGAUGCUCCCACCCUAACUGUCGUCACUCCAUUCUAGUCCCUAAAGCACAUUCUAAAUCAACUCUUGGCUGGGGCGCUGGCGGAUGAUAACUUAAAGCUUCAAAAAAAUUUUCAGAGUGUCACCCGAGUUCUGAAGGAUCCAAUCUUCCUACUCUUGCAGUUGACUUGCCAAGUUUAGGGUUAACUGAGUCAUCUGUUUUCUGGUUCACACAGACGCUUCUUAGCUAAUUCAGAUAAUUUGAGCUGAAAUGGCGAAAUGAUAAGUCCACCAAACUCCAUCUAAAUAUAUACAUUUUAAAUCAUUAAACCGCAAGGAGAUAAAAAAAAAUAUAGAGAGAAAGAAAGUUACAGUUAUAGUACCUAGGCCUUGCAAGCCACUACUUGCGUCGAAGGAUUCUUACUUCCGUGUAAAACAAAGAAACGAAAGAAAUGGUAAGAAACUAAAAAAAAGGUAGCAGCAGUAUUGCAAAUGUUUAAGUGACCGGUUGUACGAGGAACCGAGUUCAAAGAUAAAACUCGCUGGCACGUCAACCAUUAGAAAAUUCGCAUUUGUAACAUCACAGUUACUCCAUUCACAUGAAAUGAGUUUCUUUUUAAAAAAAUUGCCAAGAUCUCCCACACCAAUACUGGUACUCAGGCUGUACGGACGAAAUUAAAAAAAAACUCGCCGGCACGCUAACCACGAGAUAAUUUUAUUUCCUCUCUAAUAAAAAAAGGAACUAUCAUACAUACAUAUAUAUGCUCAUGGAUGUACGACGGACCAAGUCUAAAACUUGCCGGCACGUUAACCACGAGACCAUUUUAUUCUCUCCCUAAUCAUACAAAAUCAGACGUGAUAACACUAACAAAACUACCGUGUAGACGGUCCUAGUUUAACAAAAAAAAGAGAAUUAUAUUGACACUUUCUCUUUUAUCAUACGAAAUAAGAAAUAAAUUAAAAAAAACUANNAUAUAUAUAUAUAUAUAUGA